GUUCUUCCCCAAUUCAAAUAACCUCAAACCCUAAUUUUUUGAUUGAAUCCGAAAUAAAAAAAUCCCGAAAAUUCCUUCAAACAAAACUGUUAUAAUUGAAUCUGAAAUGAUGGGGGUGGGUGUAUGGGCAAAAAAUGUUUAGAAAAUCGAUCUUCAUGUUCUAGUCAAAGGAAAGUGAGAAUGAAGUUGUUUGGAGGGUGAGGUAGAUGGACAAAGUUGAUAUUUUAGGAACUGAGCUUAGGUUGAUUAAGUUUUUGAUAGUCAUGGU
rnacentral:lncRNA from 1 species